rnacentral:lncRNA from 1 species
GAACUUUGAUAUGAAGCACUGAAUAGCGUUAACAUUCUUUUUUAUUCUUUAUUACAGUUCAUUCUAUCCCAUUUAUGACCAGGACCCUCUCAGAUGUCCCUAUCAAAAAAAGAUGUGCGUUACCUCCAUAAGUGAGCAAGAGGGAAUAGAUGUUGUAUGAUGAGAAUGAGAUCGAUAUCAAAUGCUACAACAACGCAUUUCAACCCUGCUUCAGUGCAACAACUUUAUAUUGUGAGUUCUGCACUAUAAGGGCUUGUGUGACCUUUGGUCCUGUGCGCUAGAGCCAUGUUGGUGAAGCUAUACCUGCAAAAAUUCAUCAUGAUGAAAAUGGUUAGAUCACACCAAAAUUAACAUUUCUUGUUAAUUUACUGCAGUUUACAGAAUAAAAAACAUGUUUAGAUGGAACAGUUUUUUGUUAUUCUUAGAUACAAGUCAAUAGCUACUGACACUUUUAAAGUGAAAGAAAAACAUAUCGUAUAAAACAGUUAUACCAGUGGUCCUAAUGAUACAUCCAAUUAUUUCACUUUAUAAGGAUUUUAUGAAUCACCAAUGACCACGGUUUCAGCUCAAAUCCUUUAUUGUUUUGCUGAAGAAAAGGUCACUUUUCAUUCAUAAAACAAAAAUUGGUGUACUGUCUUGUUAAGGCAGGCAUG